GGCCGGUGACGGAGACUGCCCAGGUGUGGUCACCAUGUUCCUCUCCGCGGUCUUCUUUGCCAAGAGCAAGUCAAAGAAACAUUCUGGUGAGAAUGGUGAGCGAAGCUGGGACAGGUUUCUGCUUCAACACCAAGAGAAACCGACUGCGGGAAAAACUGACUCUUUUGCAUUAUGAUCCAGUUGUGAAACAAAGAGUCCUCUUCGUGGAAAAGAAAAAAAUACGCUCCCUUUAAACGGUGGAUUGAAAAUGACUUUGAUUUAUAAAGAGAAGACUGAGGGCGGGGAUACUGAUUCAGAAAUCCUGUAGCGUGUAAUAAAAGAAGAGGAAAUGGCAUGGAAUCACUGCCUCCUGUGAUUUGAAGGCCAUUGUGAAGGAAAACAAUGCAGUGAAAGAAAGUUCUUCAUAUUAGGACAGAUAUCAUUGCAUCACAUUUAUUUAUCUUUCUGG
rnacentral:lncRNA from 1 species